GGCGCAGACGGGAGAUUAAGUCAGUUGUGAAAGUUUGCGGCUCAACCGUAAAAUUGCAGUUGAUACUGGUUUCCUUGAGUGCAGUUGAGGCAGGCGGAAUUCGUGGUGUAGCGGUGAAAUGCUUAGAUAUCACGAAGAACCCCGAUUGCGAAGGCAGCUUGCUAAACUGUAACUGACGUUCAUGCUCGAAGGUGUGGGUAUCAAACA
rnacentral:rRNA from 1 species